UAGUGGCGAACGGGUGAGUAACACGUGGGCAAUCUGCCCUUCACUCUGGGACAAGCCCUGGAAACGGGGUCUAAUACCGGAUAACACUCUGUCCCGCAUGGGACGGGGUUGAAAGCUCCGGCGGUGAAGGAUGAGCCCGCGGCCUAUCAGCUUGUUGGUGGGGUAAUGGCCUACCAAGGCGACGACGGGUAGCCGGCCUGAGAGGGCGACCGGCCACACUGGGACUGAGACACGGCCCAGACUCCUACGGGAGGCAGCAGUGGGGAAUAUUGCACAAUGGGCGAAAGCCUGAUGCAGCGACGCCGCGUGAGGGAUGACGGCCUUCGGGUUGUAAACCUCUUUCAGCAGGGAAGAAGCGAAAGUGACGGUACCUGCAGAAGAAGCGCCGGCUAACUACGUGCCAGCAGCCGCGGUAAUACGUAGGGCGCAAGCGUUGUCCGGAAUUAUUGGGCGUAAAGAGCUCGUAGGCGGCUUGUCACGUCGGAUGUGAAAGCCCGGGGCUUAACCCCGGGUCUGCAUUCGAUACGGGCUAGCUAGAGUGUGGUAGGGGAGAUCGGAAUUCCU
rnacentral:rRNA from 3 species